rnacentral:rRNA from 1 species
AAGGUGAUAUGAACCGUUAUAACCGGCGAUACCCGAAUGGGGAAACCCAGUGUGAUUCGUCACACUAUCAUUAACUGAAUCCAUAGGUUAAUGAGGCGAACCGGGGGAACUGAAACAUCUAAGUACCCCGAGGAAAAGAAAUCAACCGAGAUUCCCCCAGUAGCGGCGAGCGAACGGGGAGGAGCCCAGAGCCUGAAUCAGCAUGUGUGUUAGUGGAAGCGUCUGGAAAGUCGCGCGAUACAGGGUGACAGCCCCGUACACAAAAGCGCAUGUGUUGUGAGCUCGAUGAGUAGGGCGGGACACGUGGUAUCCUGUCUGAAUAUGGGGGGACCAUCCUCCAAGGCUAAAUACUCCUGACUGACCGAUAGUGAACCAGUACCGUGAGGGAAAGGCGAAAAGAACCCCGGCGAGGGGAGUGAAAAAGAACCUGAAACCGUGUACGUACAAGCAGUGGGAGCACAGGUUUACCUGUGUGACUGCGUACCUUUUGUAUAAUGGGUCAGCGACUUAUAUUCUGUAGCAAGGUUAACCGUAUAGGGGAGCCGGAGGGAAACCGAGUCUUAAUUGGGCGUUAAGUUGCAGGGUAUAGACCCGAAACCCGGUGAUCUAGCCAUGGGCAGGUUGAAGGUUGGGUAACACUAACUGGAGGACCGAACCGACUAAUGUUGAAAAAUUAGCGGAUGACCUGUGGCUGGGGGUGAAAGGCCAAUCAAACCGGGAGAUAGCUGGUUCUCCCCGAAAGCUAUUUAGGUAGCGCCUCGUGAAUUCAUCUCCGGGGGUAGAGCACUGUUUCGGCUAGGGGGCCAUCCCGGCUUACCAACCCGAUGCAAACUGCGAAUACCGGAGAAUGUUAUCACGGGAGACACACGGCGGGUGCUAACGUCCGUCGUGAAGAGGGAAACAACCCAGACCGCCAGCUAAGGUCCCAAAGUCAUGGUUAAGUGGGAAACGAUGUGGGAAGGCCCAGACAGCCAGGAUGUUGGCUUAGAAGCAGCCAUCAUUUAAAGAAAGCGUAAUAGCUCACUGGUCGAGUCGGCCUGCGCGGAAGAUGUAACGGGGCUAAACCAUGCACCGAAGCUGCGGCAGCGACACUGUGUGUUGUUGGGUAGGGGAGCGUUCUGUAAGCCUGUGAAGGUGUGUCGUGAGGCAUGCUGGAGGUAUCAGAAGUGCGAAUGCUGACAUAAGUAACGAUAAAGCGGGUGAAAAGCCCGCUCGCCGGAAGACCAAGGGUUCCUGUCCAACGUUAAUCGGGGCAGGGUGAGUCGACCCCUAAGGCGAGGCCGAAAGGCGUAGUCGAUGGGAAACGGGUUAAUAUUCCCGUACUUGGUGUUACUGCGAAGGGGGGACGGAGAAGGCUAUGUUGGCCGGGCGACGGUUGUCCCGGUUUAAGCGUGUAGGUGUGUGUUCCAGGUAAAUCCGGUUCACUUUAACACUGAGGCGUGACGACGAGGCACUACGGUGCUGAAGCAACAAAUGCCCUGCUUCCAGGAAAAGCCUCUAAGCAUCAGGUAACAUCAAAUCGUACCCCAAACCGACACAGGUGGUCAGGUAGAGAAUACCAAGGCGCUUGAGAGAACUCGGGUGAAGGAACUAGGCAAAAUGGUGCCGUAACUUCGGGAGAAGGCACGCUGACACGUAGGUGAAGUGAUUUACUCAUGGAGCUGAAGUCAGUCGAAGAUACCAGCUGGCUGCAACUGUUUAUUAAAAACACAGCACUGUGCAAACACGAAAGUGGACGUAUACGGUGUGACGCCUGCCCGGUGCCGGAAGGUUAAUUGAUGGGGUCAGCGCAAGCGAAGCUCCUGAUCGAAGCCCCGGUAAACGGCGGCCGUAACUAUAACGGUCCUAAGGUAGCGAAAUUCCUUGUCGGGUAAGUUCCGACCUGCACGAAUGGCGUAAUGAUGGCCAGGCUGUCUCCACCCGAGACUCAGUGAAAUUGAACUCGCUGUGAAGAUGCAGUGUACCCGCGGCAAGACGGAAAGACCCCGUGAACCUUUACUAUAGCUUGACACUGAACAUUGAGCCUUGAUGUGUAG